rnacentral:rRNA from 1 species
GUGGGGAAUUUUGGACAAUGGGCGCAAGCCUGAUCCAGCAAUGCCGCGUGCAGGAAGAAGGCCUUCGGGUUGUAAACUGCUUUUGUACGGAACGAAACGGUCCUGGCUAAUAUCCGGGGCUAAUGACGGUACCGUAAGAAUAAGCACCGGCUAACUACGUGCCAGCAGCCGCGGUAAUACGUAGGGUGCGAGCGUUAAUCGGAAUUACUGGGCGUAAAGCGUGCGCAGGCGGUGCUGUAAGACAGGCGUGAAAUCCCCGGGCUCAACCUGGGAAUUGCGCUUGUGACUGCAGUGCUGGAGUGCGGCAGAGGGGGAUGGAAUUCCGCGUGUAGCAGUGAAAUGCGUAGAUAUGCGGAGGAACACCGAUUGCGAAGGCAGCUCACUAAGCAAAUAUUGACGCUGAGGCACGAAAGCGUGGGGAUCAAACAGGAUUAGAAACCCCUGUAGUCC